UGAUGUUAAGGUGAUAUUCAUCCUGCCC
rnacentral:sRNA from 1 species